UCUGGACAGGUUUUGAUAAAUCUCCCCUAUAGAGUGUACCAAUAAUAAACCUUUGAUUACUCAUAAAAGAAAUAUUACUAUUAAGGGGUUUAUUGACAAGCAACAAAGAAAAACGAAAAAAGCAACAAAUCUAGCUGGUUGACAGAGUUCAGACUAGAAGAGACACCUUACCUGGCGCUAUAUACAUGCCGUCUGAUGUCAUGACACUAGGCCUGUUGAAGCGCUCCAGCGCGAAAUGGUACUAUUGCCUGUUUGAGUUCACCUGCUGAACCCGUCCGUCCUGUCUUUGUCUGUCCACACUGCUCAUUUUUGCUAUGAAUAAAUGUAUGUGAUUCAUCAGAUCCUGGGACUUUCUUAAAAUAAAAAAAAUAAAAAAAGGAACUGUCAUGUCCAGAAGGGGACAUAUGGUCAGCCUAAGCCGGACAGUGUUUG